rnacentral:rRNA from 1 species
CAUGCAAGUCGAACGAUGAACCUCUUUCGGGAGGGGAUUAGUGGCGAACGGGUGAGUAACACGUGGGCAAUCUGCCCUGCACUCUGGGACAAGCCCUGGAAACGGGGUCUAAUACCGGAUAUGACCAUUGGGGGCAUCCCUGGUGGUGGAAAGCUCCGGCGGUGCAGGAUGAGCCCGCGGCCUAUCAGCUUGUUGGUGGGGUGAUGGCCUACCAAGGCGACGACGGGUAGCCGGCCUGAGAGGGCGACCGGCCACACUGGGACUGAGACACGGCCCAGACUCCUACGGGAGGCAGCAGUGGGGAAUAUUGCACAAUGGGCGAAAGCCUGAUGCAGCGACGCCGCGUGAGGGAUGACGGCCUUCGGGUUGUAAACCUCUUUCAGCAGGGAAGAAGCGAAAGUGACGGUACCUGCAGAAGAAGCGCCGGCUAACUACGUGCCAGCAGCCGCGGUAAUACGUAGGGCGCGAGCGUUGUCCGGAAUUAUUGGGCGUAAAGAGCUCGUAGGCGGCUUGUCGCGUCGGUUGUGAAAGCCCGGGGCUUAACCCCGGGUCUGCAGUCGAUACGGGCAGGCUAGAGUUCGGUAGGGGAGAUCGGAAUUCCUGGUGUAGCGGUGAAAUGCGCAGAUAUCAGGAGGAACACCGGUGGCGAAGGCGGAUCUCUGGGCCGAUACUGACGCUGAGGAGCGAAAGCGUGGGGAGCGAACAGGAUUAGAUACCCUGGUAGUCCACGCCGUAAACGUUGGGCACUAGGUGUGGGCGACAUUCCACGUCGUCCGUGCCGCAGCUAACGCAUUAAGUGCCCCGCCUGGGGAGUACGGCCGCAAGGCUAAAACUCAAAGGAAUUGACGGGG